rnacentral:rRNA from 1 species
UACGUAGGGGGCAGGCGUUGUCCGGAUUUAUUGGGCGUAAAGAGCGUGUAGGCGGCCUGACAGGUCUGCUGUGAAAACUCGAGGCUCAACCUCGAGAUGUCGGCGGAAACCGUCUGGCUAGAGUCCGGAAGAGGAGAGUGGAAUUCCUGGUGUAGCGGUGAAAUGCGCAGAUAUCAGGAGGAACACCGGCGGCGAAGGCGGCACUCUGGGCCGGUACUGACGCUGAGGAGCGAAAGCGUGGGUAGCAAACAGG